rnacentral:lncRNA from 1 species
UGUUCCUUGUAUUUCCGCGUAAUAACUCUUUCUUGUACCCAAUACAAUACCGAAUAGGGAUCGUAUAGAAGCUCAGAGGCUGCACCUGUCAUUCACAUAGACAGAUAGCUGGAAUGUACAGACUAAAAAAGCUCGGAAGCGCUUGCACUCUUUGGAGAAUUUUGUAUGAGCAUUUUCAGGCUGUUCUGGUGACACUAAAAAAUACUGGCUCUCCUGUAA